rnacentral:rRNA from 1 species
CCUACGGGGGGCAGCAGUGGGGAAUAUUGGGCAAUGGGCGCAAGCCUGACCCAGCAACGCCGCGUGAAGGAAGAAGGCUUUCGGGUUGUAAACUUCUUUUCUCAGGGACGAAGAAAGUGACGGUACCUGAGGAAUAAGCCACGGCUAACUACGUGCCAGCAGCCGCGGUAAUACGUAGGUGGCAAGCGUUAUCCGGAUUUACUGGGUGUAAAGGGCGUGUAGGCGGGACGGCAAGUCAGAUGUGAAAACCACGGGCUCAACCUGUGGCUUGCAUUGGAAACUGUAGUUCUUGAGUACUGGAGAGGCAGGCGGAAUGCCUGGUGGAGCGGUGAAAUGCGUAGAGAUUAGGCGGAACACCAGUGGCGAAGGCAGUCUGCUGGACAGCAACUGACGCUGAGGCGCGAAAGCGUGGGGAGCAAACAGGAUUAGAUACCCCUGUAGUC